CCUACGGGAGGCAGCAGUGAGGAAUAUUGGUCAAUGGACGAGAGUCUGAACCAGCCAAGUAGCGUGAAGGAUGACUGCCCUAUGGGUUGUAAACUUCUUUUAUAUGGGAAUAAAAUGUUCCACGUGUGGGAUUUUGUAUGUACCAUAUGAAUAAGGAUCGGCUAACUCCGUGCCAGCAGCCGCGGUAAUACGGAGGAUCCGAGGGUUAUCCGGAUUUAUUGGGUUUAAAGGGAGCGUAGGUGGAUUGUUAAGUCAGUUGUGAAAGUUUGCGGCUCAACCGUAAAAUUGCAGUUGAAACUGGCAGUCUUGAGUACAGUAGAGGUGGGCGGAAUUCGUGGUGUAGCGGUGAAAUGCUUAGAUAUCACGAAGAACUCCGAUGGCGAAGGCAGUUCACUGGACUGCAACUGACACUGAGGCUCGAAAGUGUGGGUAUCAAACAGGAUUAGAUACCCCGGUAGUC
rnacentral:rRNA from 1 species